rnacentral:rRNA from 1 species
AGUAAUGUAUGGGGAUCUGCCUGAUGGGGGGGGAUAACUACUGGAAACGGUAGCUAAUACCGCAUAAUGUCUGCGGACCAAAGCGGGGGACCUCCGGGCCUCGCGCCAUCAGAUGAACCCAUAUGGGAUUAGCUAGUAGGUAAGGUAACGGCUUACCUAGGCGACGAUCCCUAGCUGGUCUGAGAGGAUGAUCAGCCACACUGGGACUGAGACACGGCCCAG